UACGGAAGGUGCAAGCGUUGUUCGGAAUGACUGGGCGUAAAGCGCACGUAGGCGGUCUCGCAAGUCGGAUGUGAAAUCCCCAGGCUCAACCUGGGAACUGCAUUCGAAACUGCAAGACUUGAAUGCUUGAGAGGUUGGUGGAAUUCCAGGUGUAGGAGUGAAAUCCGUAGAUAUCUGGAGGAACAUCGGUGGCGAAGGCGACCAACUGGUGAUGCAUUGACGCUGAGGUGCGAAAGCGCGGGGAGCAAACAGG
rnacentral:rRNA from 1 species